rnacentral:rRNA from 1 species
UACGUAGGGUGCGAGCGUUAAUCGGAAUUACUGGGCGUAAAGUGUGCGCAGGCGGCCGAGCAAGUCGAGUGUGAAAGCCCCGGGCUUAACCUGGGAACUGCGCUCGAAACUACUUGGCUUGAGUGUGGCAGAGGGAGGUGGAAUUCCACGUGUAGCGGUGAAAUGCGUAGAUAUCGGGAGGAACACCAGUGGCGAAGGCGACUUCCUGGCCUGUUCUUGACGCUGAGGCGCGAAAGCUAGGGGAGCAAACGGG